CUCCCAGACCCUCCUACUUCCUGGACAGCAUCCAUGUUGAAGCUGCCUUCAACAUGGAUGCUGUCCAGGAAGUAGGAGGGUCUGGGAG